rnacentral:rRNA from 1 species
CCUACGGGUGGCAGCAGUGGGGAAUAUUGGGCAAUGGAGGCAACUCUUACCCAGCAAUGCCGCGUGAAUGAAGAAGGUCUUCGGAUUGUAAAGUUCUUUAAUUGGGGACGAAAAAAAUGACGGUACCCAAGGAAUAAGCCCCGGCUAACUACGUGCCAGCAGCCGCGGUACUACGUAGGGGGCAAGCGUUGUUCGGAAUGACUGGGCGUAAAGGGUGUGUAGGCGGUGUAGCAAGUUAGAAGUGAAAUACCUAGAGCUUAACUCAGGUGCUGCUUCUAAAACUGCUAUACUUGAGUGCAGUAGAGGAAAGUGGAAUUCGUGGUGUAGCGGUGAAAUGCUGAGAUAUCACGAAGAACUCCGAUUGCGAAGGCAGUUCACUGGACUGCAACUGACACUGAGGCUCGAAAGUGUGGGUAUCAAACAGGAUUAGAUACCCUUGUAGUC